UUAUAAUCGAGAAUCUUUGCUUCUGAAGACGGCUUUGCAAGCUGAGUACUAAUAGCGGUAGUACAAGCAGCAGUGGCUAUUCACCUGGUUCUCCGUGUUUACGAAAAUGAAGAUCAUCUCUGCCAUCGUGCUAUUGGUGUUUCUGAGAGGCUUCCUGGACAGCGCGUCUGUGAAGACGAGAAAAGGCGGACGACACUCAACAGGAUAUGCCUAUGGCUGUGCUUUGUUCGGCAUGAUAUGCAAGCACCACUGUAAAGGCCAAGGAUACUCUCAAGGCUACUGCAGUGGACGGCACCUUGGCACAUGCUUUUGCUCUGGGUAAUGAGAGAAAUCAAGCGCCGAUUGCAGAAAAAUAGUACCAGUAUGCAGAAACUCCUCAACGGUUUCGUUAUAAUCAUUUGUGCGCUUAUGGUGCUUUACCCAAAUAAAGCUCUAUGUCUAUUACUGCUAAUAAAA